CCCUUAGAUGUUCUGGGCCGCACGCGCGCUACACUGAUGCAUUCAACGAGCCUAUCCUUGACCGACAGGUCCGGGUAAUCUUUGAAUCUGCAUCGUGACGGGGAUAGAUUAUUGCAAUUAUUAAUCUUCAACGAGGAAUGCCUAGUAGGCGCAAGUCAUCAGCUUGCGUAGAUUACGUCCCUGCCCUUUGUACACACCGCCCGUCGCUCCUACCGAUUGGGUGUGCUGGUGAAAUGUUCGGAUCGGCCGUUUGUCGCGGUUUCCGCGUCAUGUGGCUGAGAAGUUCAUUAAACCCUCCCACCUAGAGGAAGGAGAAGUCGUAACA
rnacentral:rRNA from 1 species